rnacentral:rRNA from 1 species
GGAGUCUGGUCCGUGUCUCAGUACCAGUGUGGGGGACCUUCCUCUCAGAACCCCUAAGGAUCGUAGCCUCGGUGGGCCGUUACCCCGCCGACUAGCUAAUCCUACGCACCGCCAUCCCAUACCGAUGAAUCUUCACCCACCCAGUCAUGCGACCAAGUGGGACCGCCGGGUAUUAACCUCCCUUUCAGGAGACUAUCCCCGUGUAUGGGCCAGGUUCGAUACGCGUUACGCACCCGUGCGCCGGUCGCCAUCAGGAGUAGCAAGCUACUCCCAUGCUGCCCCUCGACUUGCAUGUGUUAAGCCUGUAGCUAGCGUUCAUC